UUAACCCGCCCAGCAGAGGCCUCGCGAGCGCACGAGUGGCCGGACGGAGGGAGGGCCGCGGAGGGCCAGCGGGCGGUGGCGCAGCACCGUUAGUCAAGGCGGCCCAGGCCAAUGAGCGGCGGACUGCGGAGGCGUCCCGGACAGCAGCAACAGACUUGGGCUGAGAUUCCCGGGCGGGCUGGCGGAAGAAAGGGCUGGGCGGGGGUCGCGGCGCGCAGCCAGCGAAGCCAACCCAAGGGGCCGCCGCCGCCGCCCAGCGCGUUCCGGGACCGUCAGCACCCGCGGCGCCGCCACCACGAUGGGCAACACAGCCGCCACCAAGAAGGGUAGCGAGCAGGAGAGCGUGAAAGAGUUAUUGGCAAAAGCAAAAGAGGAUUUUCAAAAAAUGGGAAAACCCUGUUCAGCUGCCAGCAGCUCCCGGGCCCCAGGCCAGAGCCGGAUCUGGCCCCUGCCACCCGCCUUGAGGAAUUUGCCCUCUGCCGUCUUGUUUUUCCACCCCAUCCUCUCCACCUGCUCCCCGGUGCCCCCUCUGCUGGUGGUCCUGGAGGUGACCCAGACCUGGGCCCAGCAGGCAGCUGAGGAGGAGGUCCCUGGCCCUCCCAACCCCUCCGCCCCCAGAACACAGCCUGAUUGGAACAAUUCAAAAGAAUCAGGACGCUUAGCAUGGGCUCCUUUGGGCUUGUGAUGCUCGUAAAACACAGGGAGAACUGGAAUCACUGCGCCAUGAAAAUUCUGGACAAACAGAAGUCCCCACAGUGUGCCAGACCUGCGGGCCAGAAGGGCCCCCCAUACUGCCUUCAUGAAGCUGCUCCCCCAAACCAGCCACCAAUGGGAAUCCAGGCAGUGGACACAGGGUCAGACAUCUAAACCUGUAUCAGGAAGCGGUGUUGACAUGGACCCUCUUUCCAUAAAUGUUUUUGAGACCCUGUGUUAUGCCAGGCAUGAGUCUAGAGUAACGCUGUCUAGUGGAAAUGUAACACGACCUACACAUGUAUACAUUUUCUGGAAGCCCCAUUAAAAAAGUAAAAAGAAAGGGGGAAUUAAUUUUAAUGUGUUUUAAUUAGGCCAGUAUAUCUGUAAUAUUAUAGUUUAAAUAUAUGUAACCCACGCAAAAAUAGCAUUAAUGAGACAUUUCACAUUCUUUUGCUUGUACUGACUUCGAAAUCCAGCACAUAUUUUAUAUUUACAACAUGUCUCUGUUCAGAUGGUAAAUUUUCACCUGAGAGAUGAAAAAAAGUGGAAAAGUUGAAAAAGCAGAUUCACAUAUUCCGAGUUGUUCUAAACAGGCUUAAAAAUUGUCCAGGAACCGUGCUAAGUGUCAGUGUUCGAUUCUUCAUUUUAGACACUUUAAAUGCAGUUCCCUAGACAACUGGCCACAUUGCAAGUGUUCAGCAGCCUGUGUAGACCUCACUGGACAGGGAGGUAUAGACCCAGAGGGCACAGCUGAGGGCAGAGUGGAAGAAGCCCUGGCAUAGCUGAUCAGAACUGACCAAGGGGCCUGGCUGCCUGCGUGUGACACCAGCUUGAUGCUGACCAGCUGCAUGUGACCUUGGGCGAGUCACUUCCUUUCUCUGUACCUGGGCUUCCAAACUGAUGUGCUCACCCCUCAGGGCAUUGGUCCAUAUGCGUCAGUCACCUGCUGCGGGCUGAGGAAUAGUGAGCCUAGGUUCAGGUGUAUGGGGGGUACUCUAGACACAUGGAAGGUAUUUCUAGACCCUCUACCCCCUGGGCACUAUUCCUACUUGUCUUUUGGGUCUCAGCUCAGCUGUCUCUUCCUCCAGCAAGCCUUCCCUGCCCCCAGGCUUCACCAGGUGCCUUACUGGGCAUCCACUGGCCGGAGCUUCCCCACCCUCAACUCUGACCAUCAGGCCUAGUGACUCAUGUGCUCUUGCCCUGAACUACAUGCCAUGAAGGGACAGGCAGCCUCUGCCCUCUGUGUAUGUCCUCAGCACCCAGCCCAGGCCUCCACAGGCUCUUGAAGGAGCCAUCCUGGCCAGCUCUAGCACCCAGUGGAGGUGAGGACCCUCUCACAUGCCCUUCUCUCCAUCCUCCCUGCCCACCCCUGCAGGUGGUGAAGCUAAAACAGAUCGAGCACACACUGAAUGAAAAGCGCAUCCUGCAAGCAGUCAACUUUCCGUUCUUAGUGAAGCUUGAGUUCUCCUUUAAGGAGGAAAUGAGAACACAGCACCUGGCGCCAGAACAUGCCUCACAUGGGAGCCAGGAUUGUCGUUGCCACUUCAUUUCUGAACACCUGCCGGACGAGGGCACCAGGCCUUCAGGUUAAACAGAUUGUCCAAGGUCACACAGGGGAGCAGGACAGGGUGGUUCCAUCAGGGUCCGUUGGGACUCCAAAACUCACCUUAGCUACUCCUCCCUAAAAUGGCUUGGCAGAGGCCUGGGGACUUUGGAAAUACUCGUGCUUACUGGAAAUAUUCAUGCUUAAAAGAUAAAUGAAUGUUUCUCUAUUUUUCUCUUCCUCUCUGCAUAGCUCUUCCAUUCUUUGAGGCGCCAUUCAACUCUUCCAGAAACAGUCCCCAAAGACUCUGAGCCCACAGCCUUGUCUGAAAGUAGUUGCUGGAUUUACAGCCACAAUAACUGACUCCCAGCUUCGCUCUGCCCUUACACGCUGUGUGUCCUUGGCCACAGCCCUUAACCUCUCUGGGCCUGUGCCUGCCUCUCUGGCAUGGGGCAGAUAUCCCAGGACUGCUCAAGGGAGAUAAUACUGCUGAGGACGUGUGGGAACUGAAAUGCUACAAAGAAGCGAGUUACGUUCAUCAUCUCCUCUUCCUCUUUGGAGCCUUUAUGGCUUUUCUUCCACUCUGGGCCAUCUUCUCAGCAAUUUCUAUUCUGCCUGGUGACAGAAACCUCAUCUUUCCUUUUUUAGUGACCCUGCUUUGUAGCUGGUGAUUGCCUUCAAUCUCCCUGAGAGGCAGGUAGCUGGUUCCCCAGUUUUCAGAUGGGUAGGCUGAGGCUCAGAGGGGCAAAGACACUUGCCGAGGUUUCAAAGCCAAUGGGUGGCAGAGCGGGGGCUUGGGGCCCCAUGAGCCCCCACAGGCUGAGCUGGGAGCUGCUCCCUCUAUUUCCUGAGCCAAGUGGCGGGAUGGCUGGAUCCCGCUAGCAAGGCGGGUGAGCUGCACUGAGAGCAGCAGGGGGAUUCCCAAUCUCUCUCUGGCGCUUGGUGUCUACAGUGAUUCUUUGGUGUGAUCUCAGGCCAGAGAAACCCCCUCCCUGUGCCUUAGCUUCCUCCCUCGGGGUGUGGGGUUCGACUCGGGUGGGGGUGCACGGGGUAGCACUCAGUCAGCAUGCUCUGUAGCUGCAAGUUCUAAUACUUCUGCCACCCAUUACCCAUACCCUUAGAGUUAGGAAGUCUGCAUUUGGCAAAGAGGAUUUGGGCUUUAUGCCCCAAGUGAGUCCACAGUGAGGCCUGGGGCAGCACCUGGGAACAGAACACACUUGCUUUUCUGCUGGGAAUUUUGAAAACUCAUGCUGAGGGGGAUAGCAAGAGGUGACAUGAGCCUUGAAUCGGGCAGGGUGGGAAUUCAGUAAAGCUUAGGGUUUUGGGGAGCCCUUGCAACUUCAGUACUGUGGGUCCAGGAUUAGACAGACAGGUGGUGUGAGGUGCUGGCUUCAGCUGGCAUGGUGGGGGCACCCAGCUUUACCACUCGGCCUGACUUAAUGAACUUCUAAAUUGUCUGACAACAAGCAGGGCCCUACAGUGAGCAGGAUGGCCUAGGACCCAGCCAUCCUCCCGCAGCCAGGCCUCACCCUCCCAAAGACAAUCUUCUUGUAGAUAUGGAGGAGCUUGUCAUCAAAGAGGAGUAGGUAGCCACCAGCCAUCUCAUAGAUUAGAGCUCCCAGGGUCACCAAUCCACAGCGUUGUUGUAACCCUGGAGAAAGAAGGGGUUAUAAGGUGAGAAGUGGGUGCAGGCAGGCUUCAUGGCAGUCAGAGGGUAGGGAAGCACCUACUUUGCUAAGAAUAAUUUCUGGGGCCAGGUACUCAGGGGUCCCCACACAGUGUCCAGGUGCGGUCCUUCACCCGCUUGGCUAAACCGAAGUCUGUCACCUGUGCACAAGAAUGGGAAGUUAGCCACUGGGGAGGAGGGUUCAGGCUGUGGCCACCUGGGGCUACCCUUCUCCCGGCCCAGUGGGUACCUUAACAUAGCCCUGCUGGUCAAUGAGGAGGUUCUCCAGCUUCAGGUCCCCGUGGAUAAGACCAAGCGAGUGCAGGUACACGAAGGUCAGAUUGAUCUGGGCCGCAUAGAAGUGGGCAUGGGGCUUACUGGCAGGCACAGUUAGGGAGGGGAUGGGUGAGAGCGGGUGGCCACACCCAGUAAGACCCACCUGCCCCCAAACAGUCCAGUUGAGCCUACAAGGCCGCCUCCAGCCCAGCUAUCUAAAAUGUGUAAGCAGAGUACUUAUUCACGUACAGCCUCAAAUUGGAAAGAGCUCAAAUGUCCAUCAGCAAAGGAUUGGAACUCCAGAUCGUGACAGAUACAUAUGGUGGAAUCAUACCCACCAUCACCACCAGGACAGAAGAUGAAUACACUUAACAACGUGGCUGGAUGUCAAAAGCAAGAGUAGAAAGAAACAAAAGAAUAUGAACUGUGUGAUUCUAUUUAUAUCAAGUGCAGACCCAGACCAAACACAUGUAUGGCGCGUGAAGGCAAAAAGGACAAGUGCCUUCACUGGGGCGGGGAUUUUCCCAGAAAGAGAAAGGAGAGAAAAUUGCAUUCUUUACAUUCAUAUGGUCUCUCUCCAGUAUGAAUUCGCUCAUGUUGGGCUAGGGAUCCACAGUACCUAAAAGCCUUUCCACAAACAUUACUUUCAGAUGGUUUCUCUCCAGUAUGAACUCUCUGAUGUUGAGUAAGGGAUGAGUCAUUGCUAAAAGCCUUCCCACAUUUAAUACAUUCAUAGGGCUUUUCUCCAGUAUGAACUCUUUGAUGUUGAGCAAGGUAAGCAAUCUGGCUGAAUGCUUUCCUACAUUCCUGACAUUUAUAAGGUUUUUCUCCAGUAUGUAUUCUCUGAUGUUGAGCAAGGUGUGAAUUCUGGCUGAAGGCCUUCUCACAUUCCUUACAUUCAUAGGGUCUCUCUCCAGUAUGUAUCCUCUGAUGUACAGUAAGGUGUGCAUGAAGGCCAAAUGCUUUCCCACAGACACUACAUUCAUAAGGUUUCUCACCAGUAUGAACUCUCUGGUGUUGAGCAAUGGAUUAUCUAUUGCUAAAUGCUUUCCCACAUUCAAUACACUCAAAGGGUUUCUCUCCAGUAUGAACUCUCUGAUGCUGAGCAAGGUAGGCAAACUGAAGGCUUUCCUACUUCCCUUGCAUUCAUAAAGUUUUUCUCCAGUAUGAACUCUCAGAUGUUGAACUAGAUGUGCCUUCUGACUGAAAGCUUUCCUACAUUCCUUACAUUCAUAGGGUUUCUCUCCAGUAGGAAUCCUCUGAUGUUGAACAAGAUUUGAUCUCUGGCUGAAGACUUGCCCACAUUCUCCACAUUUAUAAGGUUUCUCUCCGGUAUGAAUUCUUUGAUGAAGAGUGAGAGAUGAGCUCUGGCUGAAGACUUUUUCACAGUCAUUACAUUUUAAAAGUUUCUUCUCUGUAUAGAUACUUUUGGGCUUAAUGGCCACUAAAUUUUUUUUAAAGCUCCUCUUAUGUGUGUCAUGUUUAUGUACUUUCUCCUCUUUGGUGAUUAUCUGCUGUGCAUGAAGCAAUGUGUUCAGAUGGAAACUUCCCCAAGAUUUGUUAUAUUCUUGUCCUCUUUUAUCAACAGGGGCUUCCCCAUGAGUGAUUGUCUCUUCUUUGAAACAUGCCUUCUGAGUCACUGGUUGCCUUUCAAAAUGGGCCUCACAUUUCCAUUCUUCUCUCAAACUAGACUACUCAAGACCACAGCUUCUAAGUUUUUCUAUUAUCUUCUGAGAUGACUGUGCUUCAUAACUGUCCUCCUUUGGGGUUAAUUUUUCAGUUUCACCCAUAGAUUUCCAGCCUGGGCACAAGCCUUUUGCCAUCUCCCUCCUUACCAUCCAGGGCUCUUUUCCUUGUUCCAACAAUAAUAUCACACUUGGCUUGGAAAAGCAAAGUCCCAGUGAUACCAAGAGCCUGUACUUCUCCAACAUCACAUCAUGUACAGAUAGAUGUCUCUGAGAAGAAUUUAAACAAUCCCACUCCUCUCAGGAGAAGUCUACAGACACAUCUGUGAAGGUCACCAACUCCUGGUACAUGGCUUUAAGAAGGCCAACAGCCAUUCUUUCCUCCUCCUGGCUCCUCCUGUGGGAAAUGGCAGUGCCCUUAGAUGACUGCAGAACUGAGCUGCGGGAAGAUCCCGAGAUGACCUGCAGGGACCAGGGAGGCCACUUCGACAUUCCCAGACAGAUGGCUUGGUUGUGCAAAGUUGUCUGUGGUCACCCCCCAGGCCUCUUGUGGCAGGGGGUGGCCAGCUCACCUGAAUCUUCCGGUCCGCUGCAGGUGCGAGAACGUCUCCCCUCCAGGCACGUACUCCAUGACCAUGUAUAAAUUCAAGCCAUCCUGUGGGAAGUAGCCACUGAGCCUCAGUCUCCUCUAAAAUGAGAACCAUCACAGCUCUAACCUUAGAGCAGCAGUUCUCAAAGUCGUGCCCUCUUCAGCAUCAACAUGGCCACGGAACUGGCUAGAAAUGCAGAUUCUUGGGCCCCACCCAGACCUCCUGGAUCAGAAACUCCAAUGGGCCUCAUGGGAUGCUCUGCAUGCUCAAGUCUGGGGUCCCCCACCCAAUAGGACUGUUGGAUGGCAAAGGCAGUGUUCUGGGUUCCCCACUCUGUGUCACUUUCCCCUGUCCAGGUGUGGUUCUCGUCCCACCCACUCCUACCUGAAGGAUCUGCUACGGAACCUCCUGCAGGUGGACCUCACCAAACGUUCUGGAAACCUCAAGAAUGGGGUCAACGAUAUCAAGAACCACAAGUGGUUUGCCACAACUGAUUGCAUCACCAUCUACCAGAGAAAGGUGG